rnacentral:rRNA from 1 species
GUAGGGAAUAUUGGGCAAUGGAGGCAACUCUGACCCAGCCAUGCCGCGUGCAGGAUGACGGCCCUCUGGGUUGUAAACUGCUUUUAUACGGGAAGAAAAAAUACUACGUGUAGUAUACUGACGGUACCGUAAGAAUAAGGAUCGGCUAACUCCGUGCCAGCAGCCGCGGUAAUACGGAGGAUCCAAGCGUUGUCCGGAUUUAUUGGGUUUAAAGGGUGCGUAGGCGGAUCUUUAAGUCAGUGGUGAAAGCCUGCAGCUUAACUGUAGAAUUGCCAUUGAAACUGAAGAGCUUGAAUGUGGUUAAAGUAGGCGGAAUGUAUCAUGUAGCGGUGAAAUGCUUAGAUAUGAUACAGAACACCGAUAGCGAAGGCAGCUUGCUGAACCAUUAUUGACGCUGAGGCACGAAAGCGUGGGGAGCGAACAGGAUUAGAUACCCCAGUAGUCC